rnacentral:lncRNA from 1 species
GUUCUCAGAGGGGGUGACGCGUGAGCUGCAUUCUGAGGAGGAGAUUGCUGCGCCACUGAUACAGAUUUAAAGUGACAGCCACAACGAAAUGUAGUACGGUGGAAAAAACAAUGGAGAAGGAGGCAGAAAAUUGGCCUCCUUGCCUUGAUAUUUAGCCCAUCAAAUCUCUGGGCACAAGGGACUGCUCUUUAUUCAAUCCUGUCAUAACUCUGCAAAACCUUCCCCUUCUGAUCUCCUCUCGGUUGUGAAUGAUCCCUGGAAAUACUUCGGGGAGUACUGGGAACUGACACCGGCAGAGCUGACCAAGUGAGUUAACAUGAGACAAUCGUGUUAGGAGCACAUUUCCUAGCUUAAGCAGGGAACAUCUGUGAUGAAAAAUGCUAAGCCAAUUAACUCACAAAAAUAAGCUAAUUUUGCAUUCUUUGUUUAGAUAUGAAAUACUAACUGGGGGGGGUGUCACUAUGUCAUUGUUUGCAAAGAAAGGGGCAGACUCUACUGAACAAUCUUGCCUCUUUUCUGCAGUGGGGCUAUGAGAAACCUUGUCCCAUUCUGGCUGAGGGUGCUGAAGUAGGAAGGCGUGUUGGAACUACUGAGAGCAGAGAACUCAACACACACAAAGAAUCCAAAAUUUGCUUUUACUCGGAGUCCUGAGAAGUUCUAAUUACACACUGUUCUAACAAGAACAAGCAGCAAAGAUGGCACAUAACUUACCCAACGUACCAGCAGUCUACCCAACUGUUCUCUGUCUUCAGGAACUCCUUUUCUCUGUUCAUUAUGUAUUCUUUAUUCAUUGAACUUUACGUGAAAAUAAACAUCCCAAGAUUCCCACAAUUGGUUCAACAUAAAUGAAUAAGAGGACUGACUUCAGCCAGGAGUUCUCAAAGACUGGUCUAAGAACCACCAGCAUUAGAAUUGUUACAAAAAAGCUGA